AGAGCGAACGCUGGCGGCAGGCCUAACACAUGCAAGUCGAGCGCGUGUAGCAAUACACGAGCGGCAGACGGGAGAGUAACACGUGGGAACGCGCCCUUCGGUUCGGAAUAACUCAGGGAAACUUGAGCUAAUACCGGAUACGCCCUUACGGGGAAAGAUUUAUUGCCGAAGGAACGGCCCGCGUCCGAUUAGCUAGUUGGUGAGGUAACGGCUCACCAAGGCGACGAUCGGUAGCUGGUCUGAGAGGAUGACCAGCCUCACUGGGACUGAGACACGGCCCAGACUCCUACGGGAGGCAGCAGUGGGGAAUAUUGGACAAUGGGCGCAAGCCUGAUCCAGCCAUGCCGCGUGGAUGAUGAAGGCCUUAGGGUUGUAAAGUCCUUUUAACGGGGAAGAUAAUGACGGUACCCGUAGAAUAAGCCCCGGCUAACUUCGCGCUAGCAGCCGC
rnacentral:rRNA from 1 species